rnacentral:rRNA from 1 species
CAGCAGCCGCGGUAAUACGAAGGUCCCGAGCGUUGUUCGGAAUCACUGGGCGUAAAGGGAGCGUAGGCGGCGUGGUAAGUCAGAUGUGAAAUCCCGGGGCUCAACCCCGGAACUGCAUCCGAUACUGCCAUGCUAGAGGAUUGGAGAGGUAGCUGGAAUUCAUGGUGUAGCAGUGAAAUGCGUGGAGAUCAAGAGGAACACUCGUGGCGAAAGCGAGCUACUGGACAAUAACUGACGCUGAGGCUCGAAGGCCAGGGUAGCGGAAGGGAUUAGAUACCCCAGUAGUCCCUGUCUCUUAUAU